CACGAUCAGCUGCCUGCCUUUGCAGCGCGCUGUACCGGGGAUGUGCCAGAAAUGAGUGAACAAGAUGAUCAGCGAUCAAGUUGAGCGACAAGCCCGGUGGCGCGCCGACGACCCCUACACGGACGAUUCUUGCCCGUUGCAUGUUUCCUCUUUCUCGGCCCCUCCCCGUUUGCAAAUAGUUGUUCAGUGUGAAACCCAAUGUGAGACUGACCUUGGCCGGAGAGAGGGAGCUUGUGGGGGUUAAAGCACUUUUGGGACCCAGAGUGGCUGACAUUCUUCUCCUCCAUUUUAUUCUGUGAGGUAGGUGAGGCUGAGAACAUGUGACUGGCCCAAAGUCACCCAGCAAGCUUCUGUGGCAGAGUGGAGAUUUGAUCCUGGGCUUCCCCGAUCCUAGUUCAGCAUCCUCACAGUAGACCACACUGGGUUAGAGGAAAGCAAUCCCAAUGAACUUUUGGAGUAGCAGUUCUACCAUAUAUAUGUUGAGAACCAAGAUGAAUAAUUUCUAGAAGUUAGGUGGUAAUAAAAUGGAAAGUGAAUUAUUUUCAUUAGGCUUUUCCUGAAGCAACUGGAACAAUUAAUCAAAUAUUAAUAUAAUUAAAUAUUAAUUAGAUUAAUUAAAUAUUAAUUAAAUAGAUAUUAAUAAUAUUUAAUUGCCCAUUUCUACAAUACAAAAUGAAAAUGACACUAUGGGUUUCCACAUGUGUAAUGCUUUGGAUCAGAUUGGUUUUGCUUAGUUGAAAUGCAGAAGGAGGAAUUUAAUUAUUGACUGGGGUGGAGAUUAUAAUACAUUGUAACCAUUAAUUCAGCCCUACUACUUUGCUAGCAAUAAAAUAAGAACUGUGUAAUACAUAUUCUGCUCCUGUUUACAUCUGUCGUUAAGGCUCUAGUCUAAUACACAUUUACCUGAAAGUCUGUCCUAUUAACGGUUCAGUCCUAUUAACAGUGCAAUCCAAAGCAAAGUCACACCCUUCUAAGUCCAUUUAUUUCAAUGCUUAGGAUUGCACUGUAAAUGUGCAGCUUACUUCUGAGUAAAUAUACAUAGGAGUGGGCUGCCUGUCACAUAUUUUUUACGAUUUAGUUUUUUAAGGAUUGCACUAAAAUACUGAGGGCAGAUUACAGCUCAGUAACAGUAAUUAAAAACAUACAGUUUCCUCUCCUGUGAACAGUUCUAUAAAUAUACUUGAGUAAUUCUCACUUCUUUGGUCGGUCUUUCAGUGGCUGGAUUGAAAAUAUUUAUGGAUCAUAGAAAGAAGCAAAUGUAUUUGAAUUUUUUUUUUUACAACAAUGUGAGAAUAUUCAUUUUGCACUCUCAGAAUGGUAUUUGCCUGAAGGAAAACUUUUUUUUGAGGAAAUACGGGUUUUUGUUAUUAAAAUAAGGCUUCAUUACUCUGGAUCAAAACAAUGGGAACAAAUGAGUUUCUGGACAAGACUGCAUUUAACAUGGUCUAGUUGCAAAGGGUUUUAUUUUUCCAUCCGGCUUUCUGAUUCAUUCUGAAAACAGUGCCAUGUGUUCUGAGACAAAGCGAUCAUUAUUAAAGAUUUGUUGCAUUAAA